UAGGGAAUCUUCGGCAAUGGGGGGAACCCUGACCGAGCAACGCCGCGUGAGUGAAGAAGGUUUUCGGAUCGUAAAGCUCUGUUGUUAAGGAAGAACGAGUGUGAGAAUGGAAAGUUCAUACUGUGACGGUACUUAACCAGAAAGCCACGGCUAACUACGUGCCAGCAGCCGCGGUAAUACGUAGGUGGCAAGCGUUAUCCGGAAUUAUUGGGCGUAAAGCGCGCGUAGGCGGUUUUUUAAGUCUGAUGUGAAAGCCCACGGCUCAACCGUGGAGGGUCAUUGGAAACUGGAAAACUUGAGUGCAGAAGAGGAAAGUGGAAUUCCAUGUGUAGCGGUGAAAUGCGCAGAGAUAUGGAGGAACACCAGUGGCGAAGGCGACUUUCUGGUCUGUAACUGACGCUGAUGUGCGAAAGCGUGGGAAUCAAACAGG
rnacentral:rRNA from 1 species